UGACAUCAUUAAGGUCUAACGGAAGUUUUCGGGCUCACAUUUUUAAGAUUCACCAGAUUCACACGGAGACCAUAGGCUUCCAGCAGUUAAAUAGAAACCAUAGAUUAUCGAACGUACGACUGAAAACAAAAAAAACAAUUUUAACAGGUUUGACCACUUUUCCAAUAAAGUUUUUUGCCAUCUUCUGUCCACUUGCAGUAGUAAAAUGGCUGCGGAAAAUUCUUUGCUUGUAAUCCCCGGUGUCAAUAUUAAUGACAAGUUUACAGAAAUAUACAAAGAGUUACUUUCUUGCGCAAGAAUUGUGAAAAUAUCUAAAAAGUUUGAAGUAAAGCAAGCAGUAUUGAUAGCAAAGUUUAUUAGCACAAACACGAACAAAAUAAAACAAGAUAUACGGAAACAGAUUACAAUUGCGUUCAAAGCCAUUGAAACAGCUGCAAACCGAAGUGUAAGUAAAGUCAAAGAAAAGUGGACGACCUUGUAGAGGAACAGAGGAAAACUGGUGGUGACUCACUCACAAAAAUGCCGUCGCAGAGCACUGAUAAAAUGUGGAGCAGUUAAAGACACAGACAAAGACUUGUAACAGCAUUUCUCUAACGGAGCUUCUUCAUGUCUUAAAUGUUGAGUGCCAAUCCGUUGUCAAAGAUCACUUUAUGCUGACUUACAGGCUUGGUAGAUGACAGAUUGCAGACAGCUGAGCUUAGAGAUACGUGUACAACCUGCAAUAUUCAGUUCACCUUCACAAGAUUGCCCUUUCUUAUCCUAUGUAUGUUUGCUUGCUUCAGUUUUUUUUCUUUAACCUGCUCGCUGGGCUGAAGCAGGGAAAUUGGCUGGUUAAAAGCAUUUUAAGUUCAGAAAACAAAAAUCUUGACCGCCUGCAAGAAUAGUAUAUAUCAUCAAGUUGCUUAUCGCUAGUGUUCGCAGCAAUUAGUUUUAUUGAAAAAUAAUAGCGUAACACCUGCGCAUUAAUAAAGGUUCAUAUUUGUAACUUCAAACUAAACCGACUAGCAAAUAAUAAUAAUAAUAAUAUUCAUCAAUAGUUUUAUAAACAAAUUCUUAAUCUUAAAUUUACAAUUAUUAAUCUACUAGAAUGCUGAAAAAAUGAUGUUCAUUAUUUCAUAAUCCGUAUAGAUAAUAACAAUAAUGACGGUUCUGCACUAUGACCUGCAAGACUGAAUUUCAAAAACUUCAGAGUUGACUAUUUCCAAAAAACAAAAAUAGAAUGUAAAAAAAUUGCCGUAACAUUUCAGUGAUUGCGUUGUUCGUAGUAUCGCACAAUUCAAUGGCCGAGAAAUAAAUAAAUUAAUAAAUACAACGCCAAGUGCCAGGGGGGAACGAUUCGAACAUUGACGAAAAUAUAUUAAAAGGAAAAUGAUAUUUAGGAAACUAUCCCAGCGGUGUAACUCUCCGCCAGAGCAAAAAGCUUGUUAGCUUAUUACUGACCAAACCCAUUUAACAAAAUUAAGCUUACCGUUAUUGUCCAAUGACCAAGCCUUACAAAGAUGAUCAUCAUAAGCACAUUAUCUGAGAGAAUGAUAUACGGAAUUCAGUCGGCGUCGUCCUUCCCAAGUGAGACAAGAUCAGGAGACGGGUCGC